UCCCAAAUGACAGUGAGCCCCAAACAGAAACAAGACAACUAGGACUUCAUCUGGUAUCGAUUCCAGGUCCUACGUGAGAGGCUGAAGUGUGGCAGGGAGGCUUUCAGCCAUCACUGUUGCCCAGGUAAAGGAAAUUUCCCCCAUUGUGCUUUGAGGAGAGCUGCUACACACCAGGUCUCUCCUAGUAGAAGAAUGAACCAGAAAUGAACAUAAGCAUGUUGGAAUUCAUGUAUGUGGCAGACUGUAUUUUCCAAAGAUGGCCACAACAAUAUUUCUCAUUCCACAUGGUCUGCUGGAACCUUGUCACUCCUCCAUCAAGAGCUGGAACCCAUGUCCCCUGUACUUCAACCACUAUGGGUCCUUAUGACGGCCUCAACCAAUGAGUAGGUGAAAAGGACCCUUAUGUGACCUCCAAGGUAUAAUCAUCAGAAUUCCAUGAACUUCUACCUUCUUCUCUUGGGAUGCUUGCUCUUAGAACCUAGCUGCCAUGUUUUGAGGAAGCCUUAAGCAGUCUGUCGAGAGGCCUACAGCCAACACCAACUUGCCAGCCAUAUGAGUGUGCCAUCUUGAAAGUAGAUCCCCCAGCUACCACCAAACAGCCCAGUUGAUACCAUGUGAAAUGGAGAUUAGCUGCCUCUGCCAAGUACUGCCCAAGUUGCAGAUUUGUGAGCAAAAUAAAUGACUGCUAUUGUUUAAAGCCAA
rnacentral:lncRNA from 10 species